rnacentral:pre_miRNA from 1 species
UCUCUACUAAAUUUCACUAUGAAUUUAAGGUAUUCACAGUGAAAUUUUGUAGAGAAA